AAAACCCCGCUCAAACGAACGCUGGCGGCGUGCUUAACACAUGCAAGUCGAGGGAGAAAGCCGCAAGGUGAGUAAACCGGCGAACGGGUGCGUAACACGUGGAUAAUCUGCCCUGAUGACUGGGAUAACUGGCCGAAAGGCUUGCUAAUACCAGAUAAGCCCACGGGAUCUCCGGAUCCUGAGGGAAAAGGUGGCCUCUGUAAACAAGCUAUCACAACAGGAUGAGUCCGCGGCCCAUCAGCUAGUUGGCGGGGUAAUGGCCCACCAAGGCAACGACGGGUAGCUGGUCUGAGAGGAUGAUCAGCCACACUGGAACUGAGACACGGUCCAGACUCCUACGGGAGACAGCAGUGGGGAAUCUUGCGCAAUGGGCGAAAGCCUGACGCAGCAACGCCGCGUGUGUGAUGAAGGUCUUCGGAUCGUAAAGCACUGUCGCGAGGGAAGAGAAGCCGUCGGCUAACAUCUGACGGCUCGGACGGUACCUCGAGAGGAAGCACCGGC
rnacentral:rRNA from 1 species